rnacentral:rRNA from 1 species
UAGGGAAUCUUCCGCAAUGGGCGAAAGCCUGGCGGAGCAACGCCGCGUGAGUGAUGAAGGUCUUCGGAUCGUAAAACUCUGUUAUUAGGGAAGAACAAAUGUGUAAGUAACUAUGCACGUCUUGACGGUACCUAAUCAGAAAGCCACGGCUAACUACGUGCCAGCAGCCGCGGUAAUACGUAGGUGGCAAGCGUUAUCCGGAAUUAUUGGGCGUAAAGCGCGCGUAGGCGGUUUUUUAAGUCUGAUGUGAAAGCCCACGGCUCAACCGUGGAGGGUCAUUGGAAACUGGAAAACUUGAGUGCAGAAGAGGAAAGUGGAAUUCCAUGUGUAGCGGUGAAAUGCGCAGAGAUAUGGAGGAACACCAGUGGCGAAGGCGACUUUCUGGUCUGUAACUGACGCUGAUGUGCGAAAGCGUGGGGAUCAAACAGG